GAAUGUGAAAAAUUUUAUAAAUCAAAAUUAAAUUAUUGUUUUGAAAAUCGAGAUUCUCUUCGAAGUGUUCAUCAUAAAUUGGUUGUUUAACUGAUGAAUGGGACAUAGCAGUCUUGAGCAAUUAUAGAGGACCUCGAGUACUAAAACUUUGCUCAAGACACCAAAUCUCUAUCUCUUAUCAGCUUCACGAAAAUCGCGACCGACCGCGGACCAUUACUCAUUUUCAGUAGAUUCGUCCAUUUUCGAAGCUAUUCAAAAGCAUUCAGAAAUGCUCCGAAAGAUUCAGAAAUUUUUUUGAUUCAUUAAUGGUUUCUGGUGGCAAUUCAGUAGCAAAAUUCAAGCUCGGUUACCAUACAGAGAGUGAGAUCUCGUACGAGACACUGAGAUCUCGGCGUCGAGUGCAAAGCAAUUUUUUGUGUUUAUCGCUCGCUCUCUUUCAAACAAUAUUGUACACUCGUUUGCUCUAACGUGCCAAGAAAUCGAAUUGAAGUGCAUACACAAUGCACACACUGACUGUCGUCCAAAAUUCAGCGUGGCCCAUACAUUUGUGAGCGUCAACGAGUGUUACAUACCUACACUACGCACUCUCAAUAUGUAUGCCACACUCAUUGACGCUCACAAAUGUAUGGGCCACGCUAAUUUUUGGACGACAAUCAGUGUGAGCAUAACUACAGCAUAACGACUUUUUCAGUGUGUAUUUUCAUUGGAGAACGGUGCUGUUUCAAUCGUAUAUGUUGAUGAAACUGUAAAUAGAAUGAAAAUUACUAUGGUCGAACCAUUAUCUGCAGAAGAUUUCAAAAAAACAUAGUUUUCGACAUCGUAUCAAUGAUAUGAAAAAACUUACACACUGUAUCCCAAUAUUCCGAAGGAUAAGAUUGAUUUUGGCACGGACGAUUCAACGCCAGCACAUCUACCAGCUAGUGGAUAAAAGAAAGCAACGCCUAAAUUCGAAGUUGAUAAUCAAAGUUUAAAGGAAACAAUGGGUUCUUGCGAAAUGAGCCCAGAAACUCUAUCGAAAUUAUGGAAUGCCAUAAAGCGUGAUUAUGGUAUGUAACGAACAGGAUAAACUCAACGGCAUUAGCAACAUAUAAAAAGAUCAACGGAACGAAGAAUAGAAGAAAAACAAGUGUUCUUGAUACCAUGUAAAGAAAACAUAUAGAAAUAAGCAAAGCCAAAUUGAACUAUUAAUGU